rnacentral:rRNA from 6 species
AAUAUGACUCUCGGCAAUGGAUAUCUCGGCUCUCGCAUCGAUGAAGAGCGCAGCGAAAUGCGAUACGUGGUGCGAAUUGCAGAAUCCCGUGAACCAUCGAGUCU